AGGGGAUUAGCUCAGCUGGCUAGAGCGCCUGCCUUGCACGCAGGAGGUCAUCGGUUCGACUCCGAUAUUCUCCACUA
rnacentral:tRNA from 1 species